GAGUUUGAUCAUGGCUCAGGACGAACGCUGGCGGCGUGCCUAAUACAUGCAAGUAGAACGCUGAAGGAGGAGCUUGCUUCUCUGGAUGAGUUGCGAACGGGUGAGUAACGCGUAGGUAACCUGCCUGGUAGCGGGGGAUAACUAUUGGAAACGAUAGCUAAUACCGCAUAAGAGUAGAUGUUGCAUGACAUUUGCUUAAAAGGUGCAAUUGCAUCACUACCAGAUGGACCUGCGUUGUAUUAGCUAGUGGGUGAGGUAACGGCUCACCAAGGCGACGAUACAUAGCCGACCUGAGAGGGUGAUCGGCCACACUGGGACUGAGACACGGCCCAGACUCCUACGGGAGGCAGCAGUAGGGAAUCUUCGGCAAUGGACGGAAGUCUGACCGAGCAACGCCGCGUGAGUGAAGAAGGUUUUCGGAUCGUAAAGCUCUGUUGUAAGAGAAGAACGAGUGUGAGAGUGGAAAGUUCACACUGUGACGGUAUCUUACCAGAAAGGGACGGCUAACUACGUGCCAGCAGCCGCGGUAAUACGUAGGUCCCGAGCGUUGUCCGGAUUUAUUGGGCGUAAAGCGAGCGCAGGCGGUUAGAUAAGUCUGAAGUUAAAGGCUGUGGCUUAACCAUAGUACGCUUUGGAAACUGUUUAACUUGAGUGCAAGAGGGGAGAGUGGAAUUCCAUGUGUAGCGGUGAAAUGCGUAGAUAUAUGGAGGAACACCGGUGGCGAAAGCGGCUCUCUGGCUCGUAACUGACGCUGAGGCUCGAAAGCGUGGGGAGCAAACAGGAUUAGAUACCCUGGUAGUCCACGCCGUAAACGAUGAGUGCUAGGUGUUAGACCCUUUCCGGGGUUUAGUGCCGCAGCUAGCGCAUUAAGCACUCCGCCUGGGGAGUACGACCGCAAGGUUGAAACUCAAAGGAAUUGACGGGGGCCCGCACAAGCGGUGGGGCAUGUGGUUUAAUUCGAAGCAACGCGAAGAACCUUACCAGGUCUUGACAUCCCUCUGACCGCUCUAGAGAUAGAGUUUUCCUUCGGGACAGAGGUGACAGGUGGUGCAUGGUUGUCGUCAGCUCGUGUCGUGAGAUGUUGGGUUAAGUCCCGCAAUGAGCGCAACCCCUAUUGUUAGUUGCCAUCAUUCAGUUGGGCACUCUAGCGAGACUGCCGGUAAUAAACCGGAGGAAGGUGGGGAUGACGUCAAAUCAUCAUGCCCCUUAUGACCUGGGCUACACACGUGCUACAAUGGCUGGUACAACGAGUCGCAAGCCGGUGACGGCAAGCUAAUCUCUUAAAGCCAGUCUCAGUUCGGAUUGUAGGCUGCAACUCGCCUACAUGAAGUCGGAAUCGCUAGUAAUCGCGGAUCAGCACGCCGCGGUGAAUACGUUCCCGGGCCUUGUACACACCGCCCGUC
rnacentral:rRNA from 1 species